GGACUAAGGCCAGUUCACUGGGAAGCCGGACCCCACCACUACACUUUCUGGGCCCUGCUGCUCCGGGUAUUGGAACUGACACUGGUUCACACACUGAUGGAGGUGGGGACAUCCCAGCACCUGCUGCCUGCAGCCGGGGACCCAGCAAGGCUGGAGUGACACGACAGCAGGAGCACCAGGGGCACUCGGGGAGCCAUGCCCCGGCCUCAGCAGCCAGGGGCACAUGGGGAGACAUUCUGGCGAUGGCACCCUCUCAUCCAUUGCCUGGCAGUGUAAAUGUCCCAAUUCCACUGAACUUCAGACUUAAAAAUCGCCCAAGUGGUCAACGUCGUGUCAUGUAACUUAUAGAACAAAAGAUAUAAUGAGGAAAUACUCUA